CUUUUUGUUUGAGGAGAGUGAGUCCACAUGCCAGGCCACAGCUGGGGAGAAGAAUGAAGCUGUUCCUGAGAGUUAUUCUGGUGAUUUUGUGGUUUCCAGUGGACUGGGUAAGCAGCCAAAAGAUGGAACAGAAUCCGCAGUCCCUGAGCAUCCAGGAGGGUGAGAAGGCCGUGCUGACCUGUAACUACACGAAUUAUUCUCCAGUGGUCUUCCAGUGGUAUCGACAAGAUCUGGGAAGAGGCCUUGUCUUCUUGCUACUAAUACGUGAAAAUGAGGGUGAAAAACAGACAGGAAGACUGAGGGCCACCUUUGAUAAGACCAUCCAGCAGAGUUCCUUUUAUAUCACAAAGUCCCAGCCUGCAGACUCAGCCACCUACUUCUGUGCUGCAGACACACAGCAGGGCCCUGCCACCUGCUUCCUGCACCCAAACUCUGCCAGCGGCUCAGUCAGCAGAGCUGCUGGCUGUGCUGACCUCAAGGGCUGACCCCAGCUCCAGGCAGAACAAGUGGGGGCCACUUGAAAGGGCUAAAGGCUGUGAGCCAGAGCCCUGGAUCUACCUCCAGCCUCUGAUUCUCUCCCUGCUGAUACUGCUGUGUGACUUUGAGCAGCUCCUGAGAAUCGCUGGUCUCAUUUGCCUCAUCGGAACAUGAAGGGCUAACCACAUGAUUCUCAAGUUUGUCUCAGCUCUGAAAUUCAGACAAUCUAAUUUUUCAGGAAAAAGAAAUAUGCCCUAAAGAAUGCCAGAGAGCAAGAAAAGAGGAUUUAUGUGCAGGCAUGCACAUGUUUGUGUGUAUGUGUAUCUGUGUGUGUGUUUAAGGACAAUUAAUUCUGCCCAGUUUUUGUGACUGGGCCAGAACAGCCCGAGGCAUAUAGAGGGUUAAACACAUUCCUUUUAAACAUUAACUGUAUAUUCCUCCACAUAAACAACAAAAACAAACAAACCAGUCUAAACAUUCCUGGGACACUUUUAAACUGAACCUCAAAUGAUGAUGAUGGUAAAAAUAAAAAAUUGACCUGUGUUUAAAAAAAAAAUCAACCACGUAAAAUUGAAGAUCUAA